AAACUAACAAGGAUUCCCUUAGUAACGGCGAGUGAACCGGGAAGAGCUCAAAUUUGAAAUCUGGCGUCCUCCGGGCGUCCGAGUUGUAAUCUAUAGAAGCGUUUUCCGCGCCGGACCGUGUAUAAGUCUCCUGGAACGGAGUAUCAAAGAGGGUGACAAUCCCGUGCUUUACACGACGACCGGUGCUAUGUGAUACGUUCUCUACGAGUCGAGUUGUUUGGGAAUGCAGCUCAAAACGGGUGGUAAACUCCAUCUAAAGCUAAAUAUUGGUGGGAGACCGAUAGCGAACAAGUACCGUGAGGGAAAGAUGAAAAGCACUUUGGAAAGAGAGUUAAACAGUAUGUGAAAUUGUUGAAAGGGAAACGAUUGAAGUCAGUCGUGUCCAUUGGGUUCAGCCGGUCCUGCCGGUCUACUCCCUUUGGACGGGUCAACAUCAGUUCUGACCGGCGGAUAAUGGCACGAGGAACGUGGCACCCUCCGGGGUGUGUUAUAGCCUCGCGUCGCAUACGCUGGUCGGGACUGAGGAACGCAGCUCGCCUUCAUGGCCGGGGUACGCCCACGUACGAGCUUAGGAUGUGA
rnacentral:rRNA from 1 species